UACAGAGGUCUCAAGCGUUGUUCGGAUUCAUUGGGCGUAAAGGGUGCGUAGGCGGCGAGGUAAGUCGGAUGUGAAAUCCCGGGGCUCAACCCCGGAACUGCAUUCGAUACUGCUUUGCUUGAGUACUGGAGAGGAGACUGGAAUUUACGGUGUAGCAGUGAAAUGCGUAGAUAUCGUAAGGAAGACCAGUGGCGAAGGCGAGUCUCUGGACAGUUACUGACGCUGAGGCACGGAGGCCAGGGGAGCAAACGGG
rnacentral:rRNA from 1 species